GAAGGAAGAAGGCGCAAGUCACUCGAAGGCAUAAGUAUUUCAAGAUCGCUGUAAAACUCCACUCUAGGCGAUUUGGAGAUUUGGAGCGAGCACGGGCCCAUGCUAUGUUAUACCAAAUGCUUCCGCUAGUUUUUGUUCGUCUUUAUGGUCCGUGACUUGUUAUUUUGUCCAACUUUGUUAGUAGUCGUAUUUUGCAAAAACUUGUGGUCUUUGUCUUGGGUAGUUUAAUGUCAAAAAGGGUCAUAGAUUGUUGUUAGUUUUAUGUGUUAAAAACAGGGAGGCAUGUCCGUUUUUACGAACGGGUCAUGCCCAAUUUUCCUAAGAAUUUUAUUAUGUAUCAAAGUUUGGUAA